GAUGAACGCUGGCGGCGUGCCUAAUACAUGCAAGUCGAGCGAACAGACGAGGAGCUUGCUCCUCUGACGUUAGCGGCGGACGGGCGAGUAACACGUGGAUAACCUACCUAUAAGACUGGGAUAACUUCGGGAAACCGGAGCUAAUACCGGAUAAUAUAUUGAACCGCAUGGUUCAAUAGUGAAAGACGGCUUUGCUGUCACUUAUAGAUGGAUCCGCGCCGCAUUAGCUAGUUGGUAAGGUAACGGCUUACCAAGGCAACGAUGCGUAGCCGACCUGAGAGGGUGAUCGGCCACACUGGAACUGAGACACGGUCCAGACUCCUACGGGAGGCAGCAGUAGGGAAUCUUCCGCAAUGGGCGAAAGCCUGACGGAGCAACGCCGCGUGAGUGAUGAAGGUCUUCGGAUCGUAAAACUCUGUUAUUAGGGAAGAACAAAUGUGUAAGUAACUAUGCACGUCUUGACGGUACCUAAUCAGAAAGCCACGGCUAACUACGUG
rnacentral:rRNA from 1 species